rnacentral:misc_RNA from 1 species
GGUUGCUGAAGCGCGCACGGCAAC